rnacentral:rRNA from 1 species
AACGAACGCUGGCGGCGUGCCUAACACAUGCAAGUCGAGCGUGAAAGUCUUCGGAUGAGUAAAGCGGCGCACGGGUGAGUAACACGUAGAUAAUCUUCCUUCGAGUGGGGAAUAACCAAGGGAAACUUUGGCUAAUACCGCAUACGUUGGCACUAUUAGCUUAGUGUCAAGAAAGGGGGCCCUUAAAAGCUCUCGCUCUU